GACGUAGGGCGCGAGCGUUGUCCGGAUUUAUUGGGCGUAAAGAGCUCGUAGGCGGCUUGUCGCGUCGUCCGUGAAAACUCACAGCUCAACUGUGAGCUUGCGGUCGAUACGGGCAGGCUUGAGUUCGGUAGGGGAGACUGGAAUUCCUGGUGUAGCGGUGAAAUGCGCAGGAUAUCGAGGAGGAACACCGUGUGGCGAAAGCGGCGCACUGGACCACAACUGACGCUGAGGCGCGAAAGCUAGGGGAGCAAACAGG
rnacentral:rRNA from 1 species